rnacentral:rRNA from 1 species
UACGGGGGGGAGCAAGCGUUGUUCGGAUUUACUGGGCGUAAAGGGCGCGUAGGCGGCCACCGCAAGUCGACUGUGAAAUCUCCGGGCUUAACCCGGAAAGGUCAGCCGAUACUGCGGGGCUAGAGUGCAGAAGGGGCAACUGGAAUUCUCGGUGUGGCGGUGAAAUGCGUAGAUAUCGAGAGGAACACCUGCGGCGAAGGCGGGUUGCUGGGCUGACACUGACGCUGAGGCGCGAAAGCGUGGGGAGCAAACAGG